rnacentral:snoRNA from 1 species
GUGGCUGUCUUUGCUGUUGACUGCAUUUGCUGGAAACGGAAUGCAGCCGUAAGCAGCCACAAACAGUGAAGUAAAUGGUUCCUGCCGACAGUAGUCUGUAGAGUUAUCAGAUUUUCUGUGCGAUGGUUCCAGUACAUC